rnacentral:rRNA from 1 species
CGAACGCUGGCGGCAUGCCUAACACAUGCAAGUCGAACGAGAUCUUCGGAUCUAGUGGCGCACGGGUGCGUAACGCGUGGGAAUCUACCCUUGGGUUCGGAAUAACAGUUGGAAACGACUGCUAAUACUGGAUGAUGACGUAAGUCCAAAGAUUUAUCGCCCAGGGAUGAGCCCGCGUAGGAUUAGCUAGUUGGUGAGGUAAAGGCUCACCAAGGCGACGAUCCUUAGCUGGUCUGAGAGGAUGAUCAGCCACACUGGGACUGAGACACGGCCCAGACUCCUACGGGAGGCAGCAGUGGGGAAUAUUGGACAAUGGGCGAAAGCCUGAUCCAGCAAUGCCGCGUGAGUGAUGAAGGCCUUAGGGUUGUAAAGCUCUUUUACCCGAGAUGAUAAUGACAGUAUCGGGAGAAUAAGCUCCGGCUAACUCCGU